rnacentral:rRNA from 1 species
UACGUAGGGGGCAAGCGUUGUCCGGAUUUAUUGGGCGUAAAGAGCGUGUAGGCGGCCAGGUAGGUCCGUUGUGAAAACUCGAGGCUCAACCUCGAGACGUCGGCGGAAACCCUCUGGCUAGAGUCCGGAAGAGGAGAGUGGAAUUCCUGGUGUAGCGGUGAAAUGCGCAGAUAUCGGGAAGAACACCUAUGGCGAAGGCAGCUCUCUGGGACGGUACUGACGCUGAGACGCGAAAGCGUGGGGAGCGAACAGG